ensembl:rRNA 5S_rRNA 5S ribosomal RNA
GUCUAUGGCCAUACCACCCUGAACGUGCCUGAUAUUGUCCGAUCUUGGAAGCUAAUCAGGGUCGGGCCUGGUUAGUACUUGGUUAGGAGACCAAAUACC